CAGGACCAGUGCAAUGGACAUCUUGCCACAACGUAAGCUGCACAUGUGUCUGUCACUUUGCAGGCUAGGUGAGCCGAGAGGAAAAACAACAUGGCAUGAGUCUGCAUGAACAGAGUUCUUGUCCCUGGAUGGAGCGGUUGUGGGUAUAGCUAUUUGGUUUCAAGUGUGACUCCAGCAAGGAGUGAGUUUACGGAUGACCACUUAUUUAUUGCAAAUAACUGUAUUUGCGUUUUAUAAUUCUGCAUUCUCACUAGAGGACUUGGAUGCAGAGAUGUAUAGCUGGAAAAACAUCCAAUUAAAGGCUGAGGGGAAAGCAUUGCCUGUGAAUUAUUUCCUCUAAAGUUCCAAAGUUCCUUCAGACUUCCGGUAAAGAUGGCCAACUGAGAUAAUUGGGAAAGUCCCCUUCUACUACAAAAAUAACAAAAACAUGAAAGUCCACAGAUGAGCUGGAGGGCUGGAAAAGGAAGAUCUCUAGGUGCCGAAACAAGAAGCCAGAGUUGGAGCAGAAGAAGGCCUGGGGACUCUGGGUUAAGGCGUCUACCGUGAAUAACUGCAUUGAGAGGGA
rnacentral:lncRNA from 1 species